CUUGUCACAGUCUAUUUGUUUUACACUGCUUCUCUUUCCUCUCCACACAUUCUUUCGAUGUAAUUUCAUGUGAAAAUAUGGUUAAGGGCUGCUUUACUUAUUUUUCAGGAUCAUCAAUGGAAAUAUUAACUCUGACAGGAAGGCUCUACACCACCCUACCAGAUACCUGCCCUUAGCUGUGUGUAGGAAGACGAUGAUUAAGGAGUAUUUGCAUUUUUCCACAAGAGAAUCGUUCUUCUCUAUCUUCCCUCAUUUAAGAACAUCACCAGCUCAAAGACUCAUCUCUCAACCACCCAUGUACAUACAAAGAGUUAGAGCCACUGACACUGGGAGACAUGAACUGAGUUGGCAGCAAGAGUGAAAGGCUGGUGUAUAGAAAGAAGAUAUUGCAACAAAAAACUCAGAGGUGAAAAGAAGAUGAUUUUGUUAAUAUAAUAUGGCCAAAUUGAGGAAGAACUCUGAGAUCACAGAAGUAACAACCCAUGUCUCAAUUAUAUGCAAAGUUUUAAAAGUAAGCGGCCAACUUUGUGAUUCCUGAAUUGAAGUUUGGGAAAGGGGGCAAGAUUUUCCCAGGAGAAUGGACGACUUCUA
rnacentral:lncRNA from 1 species